CUUUCCCUGCCUCGCGACACCCAGACCGAGACCUCGGGAAUGCUCCGGCCCCCUGCCGCCGUCUCCCGGCCCGGUUCUCUUUCACUAAAAAUAGGCGAUUCUGGCAGCGCCCCUCCUAUGGGGCCUUGGGGGCAAUUGGGGUUUUGUCUUAGAGCCCGUGUGGACCCGGAUGGCGACGGCAGCCCGAGGAGAGGGAGGGCUGACUGUAUGGUUGGCUUUCCGACGACCAGACCCUGCAGGAUUCGGCCUUUCCCUUUGGAGUUUUCCUCCAUCCCCCUCCGUCCCUCCCAGGGGAUGCCCGCAGGCCACAGUGGUCACUGAAGGUCAACCCUGAGCCGAAGGAGAAGUGGCCUCGACCCUGGGGACCCCUUCAGAAGUCUACCUGUGCCUGCGCCCGCCGGACCUGCCGGCCUCUUCCUUCUCAUCCAGGGGGCCUCUUCUCCAGCCUCACGGAGGUGGGAAGCUUGCUGGAGGCCCCUACCUGCCUUUUGGGGAAGACCCCGAGGCUGGCCCACGCCCUGCUGGCAGGACCCUUCCUGACUGGGUCCACCGUUCUUCUGGGUCUCACCACUUCUCCCAGCCCCUGGGCUGCUUCCUCUCUCCCGUGUCUGGGACCCCAGAGGCACCACUUCCAUUCCAUACAAGGUAAGAGUCCCAAGGAGAGGCCGGGCACGGUGGCUCACGCCUGUAAUCCCAGCACUUUGGGAGGCCGAGGCGGGCGGAUCACGAGGUCAGGAGAUCGAGACCAUCCUGGCUAACACGGUGAAACCCCGUCUCUACUAAAAAUACAAAAAAUUAGGGCGUGGUGGCGGGCGCCUGUAGUCCCAGCUACUCGGGAGGCUGAGGCAGGAGAAUGGCGUGAACCCGGGAGGCGGAGCUUGCAGUGAGCCGAGAUGGCGCCACUGCACUCCAGCCUGGGCGACAGAGAGAGACUCCGUCUCAAAAAAAAAAAAAAAAAAGUCCCAAGGAGAAAUUGGAGAGGCUCUCCUAUGAAAAUCCAUCUCACCAUUCCUUUUCUGAGGAGUCCACAGGACCUGUACAGUUGGAACCAGCCCCUCAGGCUUCCCUGCCAGAGCCCUUUUCUCCAGGAGCAGAGGCAUCCAUCCCCUCCUGCCAGCAUUCCAGACCCUGGAGGGCUUGCGCGGUGGCAGGUUUUCCCUUGAAUGCUGAGGCGAGGCUGAGGGAAAGGUGCGUGGCCAGGACCAGAGGGCCUGCUGACUGCCAGCUAAAACUCUGUGCAGGAGGCUUUCCCACGUACUUUACGUACUUUAAGAUGAUGAGCAAAAUCCUUACUGUCUCCCUGCAAAAUCCGUGUGGCUUCCUCUGGCGUGUCCCAUACUCUUGUGUUUGUGGCCAGACUGGGCCUCCGCUCUUCCUCCAAACUCAUUAGUUCUCUCCCACACAGAACACACAUUGUUCUGCCUGGAAGGCCCAUCACAUCCCUCCCCAACCCUCUCGGUUCAAUCUAAGCUUUCUUGGGGUCUCAGCUUAGGUUGCCUGUUCAGGGAAGCCUCUGGGACCCUCAGGUCUAGGUCACAUUUGUUUCAUGCUUUCACAGCGGUGGUGUAGUGUAUACUGGUUCUUCUUAUCCCUCAGGUGUCUCCUCACAAGGACUGCUCUGUUUCUGCUAAGUGUUGCAUUCUCACCACCCAGUGGAGGCUUUGGCCUGUGGAAGAUUCUAAUUUUGGUGGCCAGCCUCAUGGGUUGAAAAGUAAAGGUCAAGUAGUUAAAGGAAGGGCGUUCCAGGCAGAGGGAUCAGCGUAGGUGCAGAGGUAAGGUAGGGAUAGCUUUGAGGGCUCCUUAGGAGGGAGUGAAACCCCUGAGGGUCAAGGAGCCCUAGUUUGGAAGGCCUUGCUACUAAGGGAUCUGGAUUUUGUCCUGAAGCCUAGAGUAGUUUCUUUAAGAGUCUGAUCUCGGCCAGGCCUAGAGUAGUUUCUUUAAGAGUCUGAUCUCGGCCAGGCCUAGAGUAGUUUCUUUAAGAGUCUGAUCUCGGCCAGGCGCAGUGGCUCACGCCUGUAAUCCCAGUACUUCGGAAGGCCAAGGCAGGCAGAUCACGAGGUCAGGAGUUCCAGACCAUCCUGGCUAACACGGUGAAACCCGUCUCUACUAAAAAUACAAAAAAUUAGCUGGGCCUGGUGGCACGUGCCUGUAGUCCCAGCUACUCGGGAGGCUGAGGCAGGAGAAUUGCUUGAACCGGGGAGGUGGAGGUUGUAGUGAGCAGAGAUCAUGCCACUGCACUGCAGCCUGGGUGAUAAGAGUGAGACUCCAUCUCAACAACAACAAAAAAAGUCUGAUCUCAGCACUGUCCUGCCUAGACUGCUUCUUUUUUUAGGACAAGUUUUUAUUGCUACCUGCUAAAAACGCACUUAUUGUCACGGUGCAGGCUAGGUUGGAGGAGUAAAACUAGAGACAAGAAGAGUUAAGAAGCCACUGCAGUAUUCAAGACAAAUGAGUCAAGCCAAAGGCUGAGAUGCUGUACAGGAAGGUCUCUAGGGGGACCCUAAAUUUAGCUGGGGGUGGUGGUGCAAGAUUCCUACGAAGUGGCACUAAAGGAGGGACUGAGUACUUACUAAAGACCUUAUGACUAAGAGGUCUCUCUCAUCCCUACACUACUUCCUUCACUCCAGUGUCUAGAAUUGGCCUCUGUAUAUAGGAGCUCUUUGGUUGAGCAUGGUUCACACCUGUAAUCCCAGCAGUUUGGGAGGCUGAGGUGGGAGGAUCACUUGAACUCAGGUGUUCAAGACCAACACAGUGAGACCCCAUCGCUAUAAAAUUUUUAAAAAUUUUAGCCAGGCAUGGUGGUGCACGCUUGUAGUCCCAGCUACUUAGGAGGCUGAUGCAGGAGGAUCGCUUGAGCCCAGAAGUUGGAGGCCGCAGUGAGCUAUGAUCACAUCACUACACUCCAGCCUGGGUGACAGGGUAAGAUCCUGUCUCAAAAAGAAAAAAAAAAAAUUAAGCACAAAAAGUUUGGAGACCAGGAAACAGGAGUACAAGUAUAGGUGCUGUCCCACUCUUAGUGAGGUCGGCUGUGAAAUUAAAUCAGUUCCUGGAACAAAUCUUACAAAGAGAUCAGAGAUCACUUGCAGUUUUUUUUUUUUUUUUUUUUUGAGACAGCGUCUCACUCUGUCACCCAGGCUGGAGUGCAGUGGUGCCAUUUUGGCUCACAGCACCCUUCGCCUCCUGGGUUCAGACAAUUCUCCCACCUCAGUCUCCCGAGUAGCUGGGACUACAUGCCUGGCUAAUUUUUGUCUUUUUUGGUAGAGACAGGGUGUCACCAUGUUGGCCAGCCUGGUCAUUAACUUUUUAAAAAAAUGUUUAUUUUCCUGAUAAAGAUUCAGCAUAAAUUUUAGGCAGAAGUCUGACGUCUAGCAGUCCCCCAGAAAGCAUUCUGUUGUCUGUUGGGGCUUCCUUGGGAGAUGGACUGUGGGCUAGGCCUGGGUGCUUUGGCAGAUACAGAGUCAGAGGCUGUGGAAAGGGGAUGGUCCAGACAGGACUAUAAUAAAUGCAGGGAUGGCCGGGCGCGGUGGUUCAUGCCUGUAAUUCCAGCACUUUGGGAGGCCAAGGCAGGUGGGUCACUUGAGGUCAGGAGUUCAAGACCAGCCUGACCAGCAUGGCAAAACCCUGUCUCUCCUAAAAAUACAAAAAUUAGCUGGGCGUGGUGGUGCAUGCUUGUAAUCCCAGCUACUUGGGAGGCUGAGGCAGGAGAAUCACUUGAACCCAGGAGGCAGAGGUUGCAGUGAGCCGAGAUUGCGUCACCGCACUCCAGCCUGGGCAACAGAGGGAGACUGCAUCUCAAAAAAAGAAAAAAAAAAAGAAAUGCAGGGAGAAGUCAAGCUUCUAGCCUCCUUGUCAAAGGAUUUAAAGUAGCAUUAGAUGGUAGAGAGAAACAAAAGAUGACCCAAGUUUCAUUUUCUCAGCUUUCUACUGGAGAGAGGACGUCAUAUAAACCAGAGUGCGAAAAAGGUCAGAAUGGAACCCUGGGGCUGGCUAGCUCAAAUUUGUAUGAGGGAUGAAGGGCAGUCCUCUCUGCUCACACUAAGGCUAAAUGGCCAGGGCCUGCGGAGAAAUCACAUCCUUUGCUGUAGGAGUAGAAGGGAUUCCAUGUGCCUAAGAAAUGUCAGAGAAAAAGGGGAUGUGAGCUCCAUGGAUCCUCUCCAGGCCACCUGGAUCCCUCCUUAUCUUUGUAGGACUCUGCUUACUGCCAGCUGGAAUUGUCAACCAAAGGGCUCUAAGUUGGGAUCUCGGUCCCUUAAGAUGAGGGGAGAUGGCUGGGCGUGGUGGCUCCUGCCUAUAAUCCCAGCACUUUGGGAGGCCGAGGUGGACAGAUCACCUGAGGUCAGGAGUUCGAGACCAGCCUGGCCAACAAUUAAAAUUACAUUUUAAUUUUUUUAAAUAUAAAAAAAUUAGCUGGGCGUGGUAGCACAUGCUUGUAAUCCCAGCUACCCUGGAGGCUGAGGCAGGAGAACUGCUUGAACCUGGGAGGUGGAGGUUGCAGUGAGCCGAGGUCGUGUCACUGCACUCCAGAGCCUGGGCGACAAGGGCAAAACUCAAAAAAAAAAAGAAAAAAGAUGAGACGAGAAAGCUAGGAAGGCCUAAGCACAAACCUCAGCAGGGGGAAUCGCUAUAGAGGAUAAGCCUCCUUGUUCUUAAAGGCUAUUUUUAUUUCAGUUGGCUGUUUGGAGCUGUGUAAAAAAAAUGGAAAACAACAAUAACAACAACAAACAAACAAAAAAACCCUCCAAAGGGCUAUUUCUAAUUCAAAUCCCCGAGGUGUCUAUCUUUCCCCUUCCUUUGGGGGAGGGAGGAGGUGAGACAAGUAAUAACUUAGAGGAACGUUUCCUUCCAUCUUUGCAGGUCUCCUGAUAGCAGGAACCUUGCUGCAUCUCCUACACUUCUCAAGAGCAGAAAUGAGCUCACUGCCCCACACCCAGGAUUCUCAUACCACACUUGAGGACUCUCUGGUUUGGACAGACUAUGAUUAAAUUUAUCACAACUGUUAGUUCUCAUGGUCUGGGAGGCCAUCUCCUCUCCUCAGACCCUGUUACUCCUAGAUCUGUCCUCUCAUUAACUCUGUCAGCACAGGCUGCUCUCUCUUCCAGGACUCCAAGAGCUCCUCAUCACCCUCAUCUGCUGUAACACGGAAAGAACCCACUUACCUGCUUCAAUACUAGGUUUUGCCCCCCAUCCCAUUUUCAAAAAGUCAGGCACAAAGUAAAACCCUAUAUUUAUUAUCCCUCCUAUUUUGAGGCUCCAGCUCUAGCCCCAGACCUUUUUUGAUAGGAGAAGGUAAUACAGUUUAUUUUCUAACUUGUUUCCCCUAGUUUUCUCCUGUCUCGUCACCCGUGUGAUCCACGUGUAUCAGAAGUGAUAGGUGGCUCAAGAUCAUUUUGGUCAGAUUUUAAAAAUAAAAUAUUUUCUCCUUUUAUGUCUAAAAAUAUUACCUUACAGCCUACCGCUCCCAGCUGGAAAAAGAAAAUUGUUUCAUUUCUGUUUUUAUCCUCCCCCUUGGACUUGCUACUCCCAAGGGCCCCAGGAAGAACUAGACUUUGGUUGUACAGAACUGUGCUGUUAAAUAGGAUUUGAUAGCCACUAGCUACAUGUGGCUAAUUAAAAUUAAAUUAAAUACUAUCUUAAAAAUUGAGUUCAUGAGGUGCACUAGCCACAUUUCAAGAGCUCAAGUCAUAUGUAGCUAGUAGUAUCUACUGUAUUAGACAGCAGAUACAGAAUACUUCCAUUGUUACAUGAAGUUCUAUUAGCUUGAAUGUGGAGGACUAGCGUCUUUAGCUUCCUUUCUUAUAACCCCAUUUUACCAGCCAGCAAAUAUUUGCAAUAACUUCACUGUUACAGGAUAAUUUUCAGAGGAGUUAGGAAUUGGGGGUAGGAAGCAGCAUAGAAUCUACAAGUCUUAUAGGAGUUUCAGGAGGCAUGGCAUAGAGGCCAGGGGUUGAUGGUCAAUGGCAAGAGCCUUAGGUUUUAAGAAAGUACUUUAGGGACUGAUGUUAUAUUACCAGGGCCACCUCCACUGUGGACUCAGUGGUUCUGCGUAAUACCUGAAAACAAAAAAUGACAUCCCUACUGCUCUGCUGGAACUGAGUAGCUGAAGUGAUUGUUAUUACUCAAAAUCUCCAGAGCUUGAUUUUGUAAACUGUUUAUCUGUCACGGUUCUUGUUCUCCCAAAUCCAAGUGACAUAAGCAGCGGUAAUGUUUAGAAAAGGUUUGUUGACUUUGCUACCCCACUCCAAGAGCAGGGAGUAGUGGGUGUCAUAUCCACUAAUCCACUGAUACUCAGGGUACUUUUUUUUUUUUUUUUUGAGAUGGAGUUUCAUUCUUGUUGCCCAGGCUGGAGUGCAAUGGUGCGAUCUCGGCUCACUGCAACCUCCUCCUCCCAGGUUCAAGUGAUUCUCCUGCCUCAGCCUCCUGAGUAGCUGGGAUGACAGGCAUGCGCCACCAUGCCUGGCUAAUUUUGUAUUUUUAGCAGAGACAGGGUUUCUCCAUGUUGGUCAGGCUGGUCUGGAACUCCCGACCUCAGGUGAUCUGCCUACCUCGGCCUCCCAAAGUGCUGGGAUUACAGGCAUGAGCCACCGUGCCUGGCCCUCAGGGUACUUUUAAUAAAGUGCUAGCUAGGCAAGCCUAUUCUUCCUCUCAAGAGUAGGUGUUCCACUUUUGAACACCUAUGCCAGGCACCGGCUAUAGUGCCUACAAGAGGAUGAUAUGUGGACAUGACCACUUUCCCUGACUACAUCAGUGGUUCUCAACUGGGGAUGAUUUUGCAAUGUCUGCUUAUGGGACAUUUGGUAAUGUCUAGAGACAUUUGUGGUUGUCACAACUAGUGGAGGGGUACUACCUGCAUGUAGUGGGUAGAGUCCAGAGAUGCUACUAAGUAUCCUAUAAUGCAUAGGACAGCUGCCCACAACAAAGAAUUAUCUCACUCAAAAUGUCAAUAGGGUCGAGGUUGAGAAAUCCUGGUCUAGGCUGGGUGUGGUGGCUCAUGACUGUAAUCCCAGCAUUUUGGGAGGCCAAGGCAGGAGGAUCACUUGAGCCCACCAGGAGUUCAAGACCAGCCUGGGCAAUGUAGGGAGAUCUCCACAAAAAAUAAAAAUAAAUUAGCUGCACUAUAGUCCUUGUUACACAGAAGGCUGACGUGGGAGCAUCACUUGAACGUAGGAAGUGAGUGAGCUGUGAUUGCACUACUGCACUCCAGUCUGGGCAACAGAGUGAGACCCUGGCUCAAACAAAACAAAAACAAAAGCAUUGAAAGAAAGAAAGAGGCCGGGCGCGGUGGCUCACGCCUGUAAUCCCAGCACUUUGGGAGGCCGAGGCGGGCAGAUCACGGGGUCAGGAGAUCGAGACCAUCCUGACUAACACGGUGAAACCCUGUCUCUACUAAAAAUACAAAAAAUUAGCCAGGCUUGGUGGCGGGCGCCUGUAGUCCCAGCUACUCGGCAGGCUGAGGCAGGAGAAUGGCAUGAAUCCAGGAGGCGGAGCUGGCAGUGAGCCGAGAUCGUGCCACCACACUCCAGCCUGGGCAACAGAGCGAGACUCUGUCAAACAGAGAGAGAGAGAGAGAAAGAAAAAGAAAUCAAUCAAUCAAUCAAUCCGGUUUAGAUGACAACAUGAAUCAGGUUUGUUGUUGUUGUUGUUGUUUCCCCCGCAGACAGAGUCUCGCUCUGUCGCCCAGGCUGGAGUGCAGUGACGGCGAUUUCGGCUCACUGCAACCUCCGCCUCCCGGGUUCAAGUGAUUCUCCUGCCCAGGCCUCCUGAAUAGCUGGGACUACAGGUGCACGUCACCAUGCCUGGCUAAUUUUUUGUGUUUUUAGUAGAGACGGGGUUUCACUGUGUUAGCCAGGAUGGUCUCGAUCUCCUGACCUCGUGAUCCACCCGCCUUGGCCUCCCAAAGUGCUGGGAUUACAGGCGUGAGCCACCGCGCCCGGCCUGUAUCAGGUCUUUAUGCCAAAAUGAAUCAUGCAGUCUAGGCUCAGUAGGAUAGUAAGGCUGUUAAAUGUCUGAUAAAUUGGGAAGGAAAAAAUAUGGAGUCAGUGAAACAGUGGGCUCCCUAAAGCUGAAGGGCAGGUGUAAUUGGAGUGUGCUUAAGUGUAUUGGAAGGCUAAGAGCUAAGGUCAUAGUGCAAUGGGAGUUGAUUUCAGAUGUGUAGCCAAUCUGAAGAUGAGAUCCAGGGUACAGCCACAGAAGUAGAGGAACAAGUUUAAACAGUCUGACUUGUGAUACAGCAGUGAACAGCUGAACCUAAUAGGGAAGACAUUCAAUAAACAGGUGAGCUGUAUGUUUUUCCUCAAUGUUUUUGUAACCCACACUUCUACUUUUCAUAUACCUGAAAAUCUCACAUUUGCCCCUCCAUUUACAAUUUCAAAAUUAAGUAUCAUGAUUGAAAUUAAUGAAAGCAGUAGUAAUUUUAGAAGGAAAAAAUUUAUUCAGAUGAUGUGAUAGCCAUGUCACUGUUAAGCCUGAACUUUUCUUUCCUGGGUGGUGUGAAAGGUGCAAGAAAACACAAGCUGCUUUUAAUAACACUCUUGCACUGCUUUCUCCCCAAAGCUAGAUAUAUCAAAACAUUAAAAAAUAAAAAAGCUUUUUAAGGUGUAAGGAGCAAAUGGAAUAGUGGAUAAAGCCUUUUCAUCUGUUUAGUCAUUUUACACCCAAGUUUCUCUGGAGUAUUUGCCUGGAAGUUUCUAAUCAAAACCAUUAGACUUUGAGUUUCACAAACUCCUCUUGAAGCUCUUCCAGUGAGGCCUGCACAUCGGUAUGAAACACAUUCUUUCCAAAAGCUACCACUGGUAGAUUUUAAGAACAAGCUCAGGAGCACAUCACUCAAAAUAAUUCCAAGUAUUUCACUUUUUCCCUUCAAAUAACACUCAUGAAUCUGGUCCUUGAAAGACUAGCCAAGAAAAUUAGACAUUUUUAGCAUUAGUUUGCUCAUACAUACAUUUGCUAUAUUUUUAUGGUUGUAUUUUUGGCAAGUUUUGUUUGAUGUAUUUCAUAAUGAACGGCGAAAUUGGUGUUUGCCCAUUGACAUUUCAGUGUCAAUGUAUUUUAAGCUUCAGUGUGUUAAAACUCUGUUGAAAAUUUUAACUUUUGAAAUGUUCAAGUAUAGAUUAUUUUUCAUUGUUCUUCCAACCUUGGGGUUGUUCUGUCCACAAGUUCAGCAGAAUCCGUUUUUCUUUGGCAACCAAGAAACUUCAAUAUGUAACAGAAAACAUGGAAUGGCAUUUAGAUCUUCAAAAAGCAGGGCAAACUGGAAUGGAAUGUACUGUUUCUCACAGUGGUCUAUGCUGACAGCAAGGCUGAAGAUUUCCAGUAGGUUAUGGGUAAUCAGUGAAAGUUCAUGCUUGGUGGUGACAGCUGCAGUACAUCUUGAAUACCAGUUUUCUUCAAUCUUUGCCAAAAACCCAAAUUUAACACAGUUUGCUGUAGUGCCAUUAAGAUAUACUCCUAUACAAUUUCCUCCAACUCGGUUCAUUUGAUACAGCUGCAAAAAUACUGUCUUUGGUGGUCAAGUAGAAGGCUCACGAAAACAGCACACCCACAGUUUUGAAAGCCUUAUUCUGAAUGUAAGCAAAGUACAGUUUUCUUCAUCAGUAGAUUCAUCUCAACCAACAGCAAUAAAAGAUGAGCCGAUUUUUUUUUUUUUUUGAGAUGGAGUCUUGCUCUAUUGCCCAGGCUGGAGUGCAGUGGCUCAGUCUCGGCUUACUGCAAGCUCCGCCUCCCAGGUUCAUGUCAUUCUCCUGCCUCAGCCUCUUGCGAGCUGAUGUUUUUUAAGAUCUGAAGUUUGAUAUAUACAGUCAUUAAUUCAGAGUUAAGACUGCAGAAGUAGAUGAAGAAAUUCUGGAAUUCCUUAAUUUAUUUGUGGCAGCACUCAGAAUGCAAGGUUUCACAAGUGUCUCCAUUUUUUUCUCCUUUGCAAUUAAAAGGGCUGUUUAAUAUUAAGCUUUCACGGCUUGGAAGAUUCCUGUGAAUAUUUCAAUACUGUCCAGUCUUAAAGCUGCAGAGAAUCGGGCUUUGCAGAACACUCCACUGUUUUUAAUGGCAUGAAUUUAACAGUGUUUGGCAUGGUGUCACUGCCCAACACUUUCAGAUAACUCAACUGAAGAAGUUGACCCUAUCUUCUGCAAAAUAACAUGAGUAUAUACUUGAGAAAAGCCUCAACAUUUUUUUUUGGCUGCCAUUUUUAGCUACCUCAAAGGAGAUAACAGAAAAACAAGGAGUACUGAUGAUGGAAGCAUCUGGUCCCUCUUGCAGAGUGAUGAAUGAUUUUAUUGGUGGCAGCUGGGUGGCAGGACAAUCCAGGCAUCCAGUUAUGCCUGAUCCCCAAUAAGUGAAAUCUUUGUUCAUUUUCUUUUUAUACACCCGUCUGCUUCCUAAAACCUGACACCAUUUAAUGGUGCCCUUGGUCAAAUCUAAAUGAUCUUACUUUCAUAAUUCUUUGAUUCUAGCUUGCAGAGUCAAGACGAACUCUAACUCAUGGGAUGGACAAACUGGAAGAUGUAAAAUAAGUAAGGCUUUCUGGGCCAAAAAGCCUCUUCUUACAGAAAAUCAAAUUUUAAAAGAACAUUGACCUCAAAACAAUAAAACUGUCCUGGUUAUGCAAUAGAAAUAGCUAUAUAAAUGGAAUCAUAUCCUUAAUGAACACCUCCUGUGGCUACCCAACUUUUCACACAUCUUACUGAUUAUAGGCCUUGCUGUGAAUGCUUUCUUGCUCUAUCUGAAGUAUUCCCACCAGAGUUGUUUCCAACUUUAUUUCCUAUAUUAUGAAAAAUGAAGUUUUUUUAACAUUGUAACAAAGUAUAUGAAAGAUAAUGUAUACUGUAUUAAAUAAACCAUUAUACAAAAAUAGUUCCUUGUACUGUUAACUAUUAUUAUGACUUUGGUCAGUAAAAUUCUAAAUCAUGCGACUAUAAUUUACAUGUUUACCAAUGGAAGGAAGUGACAAUGAACUGCCUAAAGAAUGAAAGAGACACCCAGGCAUGGUGGCUCACAUCUGUAAUCCCAGCACUUUGGGAGGCCGAGGCGGGGGGAUCAGGAGGUCAAGAGAUUGAGACCAUCCUGGCCAACAUGGUGAAACCCCGUCUACACUAAAAAUGCAAAAAUUAGCUGGGCAUGGUGGUGCGCACCUGUAUUCCCAGCUACUUGGGAGGCUGAGGCAGGAAAAUCGCUUGAACUCGGGAGGCGUAGGUUGCAGUGAGCCGAGAUCGCACCACUGCACUCUAGCCUGAUGACAGAGCGAGACUCCAGCUCAAAUAAAUAAGUAAAUAAAUAAAUAAAUAAAAAUAAAAAAAGAUUUGUGUCUUAACUGUGCACUUAACAAUAUUUACUAUAAAAUGGGGGAAGGGGAUGAUGAUAAAAGUUAGCUGAGGAAGGCUGGGCACAGUGGCUCAUGCCUGUAAUCCCAGCACUUUGGGAGGCCCAGGUGGUGGAUCUCCUGAGGUCAGGAGUUCAAGACCAGCCUGGCCAACAUGGUGAAACCCCAUCUCUACUAAAAAUGCAAAAUUAGCUGGGCAUGGUGGCAUGUGCCUGUAAUCGCAACUACUAGGGGUGCUGAGGCAGGAGGAUCGCUUGAACCCGGGAAACGGAGGUUGCAGUGAGCCGAGAUCAUGCCAUUGCACUUCUGCCUGGGCAACAGAGCAAGAUACCGUCUCAAAAAAAAAAGUUAGAAGAGAAAUGGAAGGUUCUCUCUUUUCCUCAGCUUCAGUAUACUAAAACCCAGAAGCAUAGGACAUAAGUUUUUUCCAUGGGAUACUUUAGUUAUCACCUUGGGUGAAAACAUGGUACUAGGAUUUGUCCUUCAAGUCAGGUUAAUGUAACAGAGGUAGCAGUGACUUAUGGUUAGAUUUGUGCCUUAACUGUGCACUUCCCAAUAUUUGCUAUAAAAUGGGGGCAGGGGGGUGAUAAUAAUAUCUAAUACAUGAAGCCUGUAGGACAGUGCUCUGUGUUUGUGUUUUGACUGCAACUCAAAGAAAGCAAUAUAUUUUUAGAUGAAGUAUAUACAUGUAUAUAUAUAUAACUUAAAAGUUUCAUAAAGCAGUACUUACCCUUACUAUGUUCCAUGUGUUCUAAUAUUUUCUCUUACUUCAUUUUGAGAUAAUGCUAGGCAUGACCCAUUUAUUUUAAGACACACUAAUUGGUCAAAAAACAAUUUGAAAACCACUGCUAUAGGAGAACACGAGGAAAUAUAUUUUAUAAACUGUAAAGCACUACUAAGACGUGAGCAGCGGCUGCUGCAUAUCCAGGUCAACCUUUAUGGGCCUGAAGACAACCUCUCCUUCGUUUGGGCACUGCUAGGAGUCAAAUCUACCUAGACUUUUGGUAAGGAAGAUGGUACUCAUGCUCAUUGUCAUUGAGACAAUUAUCUAAUGCUUAGAAGUCAAGACUAGAAAGCAAGGCAUUAACCAUAUCAGCACCCAAACAAGGGAAGACAAGUUACAAGAAAGCCAAAUAAAACAGCAAACAUUUGUUUAGUGCUUUAUGGUUAACAUAUAUGAUCUCUUUUAAUCCUUACAAUCCUAGGGAAAAAGUGAAGCUCAAGGAGGUUGACACCUGCCCAAGACUAGACAGUAAGUGGCAGAGCCAGGUCAUCUGAUCCUAAAUCCCGCACUCCUUCCACUAUGAUAAAAUACCAGGAAAGAAAAGUGAUCAGGAUAUGAGGCACAUUCUGAUCCAUCAAAGAUGCUUAUAUGCUUUGCCUUUCUCUAGAAGGAAAACGGACCCCACUGAAGGUAGAGAUGCAAUCCCAGACUUUCAGAGGGGGGGUGUGGCCAAUUGCUAUCAGUAGUUUAGGACUCACAUCUGGCAUUUCUGUCUACCAAUACAUCUAUUUUGACACUGCUUGUGCUGAGGUCCCAAAUGUCUAUUAUCUCCAAGUACUGUGGCUUUCUAUUCCUAUCUGUACCUGUCCCAGGGAAUUGGUCAAGGACUCACAUUAGGGAGAAAUGAAGUACUGGGUAUCUGUUACUCACGUCCCUUACACUUAGGUAGACUGCCAGUAUUAGCAGUAGUGGUCCGCUUCCAGUGACCGUCAUAUUAUCUGUUCAGCUUCCUCUGGGGAAGCCAAUCUGCCCCAAUCUUCAUGGUUUUGUGUCUCCUUUUUUACCCAUAUGACCAUCUCUCUCCACCGUGUCUCCCUCAUCAAAUAAAGAGAAGUUUAGCAACUAAGUACCUGAGGAGGUGGGAAAGGAAUGCUACUCAUUCCUCAGCUCUCCUAGUUACCUUUCCACUCCCUUCAUCCCCCCACAUUCCCUCAUUUCUCUCACCUGGUACUCCUGCACCACCUCCUCCAAAGGCAGCACGCUGUGCUGUUUGUGGCUCCUGGAUUCUCGGCACACCACACAGAUGGCCUCUUUGUCCACCUCACAGAAGAGUUUCAGGGCUUCCUGGUGUUUAAAGCACAUGCCCUGAUCAUUACUCCGGUUUCCCCGAUAAGGAGUGGGGCACAUCUGGCGAAUUAUCUGGACCAUGUUGGCCAGCUGCAAGUUGGGACGAAAGCUGCGACGUGUAAAGCUCUUUCGGCACUGGGGGCAGGUGAACUGCCCUGGAAGGGGCAAGGAAGGAGGCGGGUGGAUGUCAGGAUACAGCUCUUCAUCUUCGUCCUCAUCGUAUGCUUCCAGUAUUUCUUCUUCUCGGUAGACAUCAAUUCUCAGGUCAGGUCUCAAGCCUCCUAGGUAAUAGUCCUGAUCUUCCUCUUCUUCUUCUUCCUCCUCGUCCCACAUAUAGUCUACGUUGUCCCAAUUAGUUAUACCACUGUCACCGAGCCAGAGUUCAUCGUCAUCUUGGUCUUGGAACAACUCUUCGUCAGCAUUCCCCCGAUACAACACCUCUCGAAUGGAGCCGUCCCAUCCAUCCAUGGCCCCCACCGCUUCCUCGUCCUCCUCCUCCUCCCAUUCAUCUUCCUCCUCGUUCUGGUCCUCCUCGUCCUCCUUACUCCACAGCUGGGUCACACACCCUCGGCAGAAGUUGUGCCCACAGCUGAUGGACACGGGGUCCUUGAAGUAAUCCAAGCAGAUGGCACACACCGCUUCCUCCUGAAGGGUCUGCAUGGGGCUGGGAGUAGUGGCAUAACCAGCCAUCUUAAUGCCCGCCGGCAGGUGUAGAUACGUCAGCUUGGAGCUGAGGAGCGGGGACGCGCCUGCAGGCCUGCCUCCAAACUACUCUGGUGACCCGAGGCUGUCCUCAACCUUGCUCUUCUUCCUCGGGGCCGCAGGGGAGCUUUGACCCCCUCUCUCAGGGGUGUGCCCUACACUGCGGCGUCCGCCUCAGAUGCAGCCGCUGGCUACCCUGCCCGAGGCGACGCAAAAUGACGUCUCGCUCCUGCACACGCUCUGGAGAGACGCUCUAGGCCGGCGGAGGACCACGUCUCUAUGGUGUGCCGGGGGCCGCGCGGGCCGGGAGUUGGGUGGGCUGGGGGACAGGCGCGCCCGCGCCGCCCGCUCCAGCUGGGCUAGUGCUGCACAUUCCGGCCAGCCCCUCCUCAAGACCCCAUUCCCAAGCCCCUUCUCAGCUCCCUCGGGCCGGCAGAGCGGCUCUGAUCAGUAAAAUGCUGUUGAAGGCCCACGGGCAUGACUGCACCCCUCACUAAUUGGUCAUUGGUUUGGGGAGGACACCACUGUCCCAGUGGAACCUUGAGCACACCUUGGAGCCCUCCUCUUCCUCUCCGGACCUGUGCCAAACUGCCAUCCUGCAGCCACCAGAACCUUCCACAUGAAAUGAAAGGCUCACCACUUCAUAGGCUUUAAGGAAAUUCUUGGCCAGGUGUGGUGCCUCACUCAUGUAAUCCCAGUGCUUUAAGAGGCCAAGAUGGGAGGAUUGUUUGAGCCAGCUGUUUGAGACCAGCCUGGGCAACGUCAUGAGACCCCAUCUCCACAAAAAAAAAAAAAAAGAAAAUUGGCUGGGUGCGGUGGCUCAUGUCUGUAAUCCCAGCAAUUUUGGAGGCUGAGGCGGGUGGAUCACUUGAGGUCAGGAGUUUGAGACCAGCCUGGCCAACAUGGUGAAACCCCGUCACUACUAAAAAUACAAAAAUUAGCCAGGCGUGGCGGCAGGUGCCUGUAAUCCCAGCUACUUGCGAGGCUGAGGAAGAAUUGCGUGAACCUAGGAGGUGGAGGUUGCAGUGAGCCAAGAUCAUGCUGCUGCACUCCAGCCUGGGCAACAGAGUGAGACUCCAUCUCAAAAAUAAUAAAAAUAAAUUAAAAAAAUUAAAAAUUACCUGCGUGUGAUGGUGUGCGCCUGUAGUUCCAGCUACUUGGGAGGCUGAAUUGGGAGGAUCAUUUGAGCCCAGGAGGUCAAGGCUGCAGUAAGCAGUGAUGGUGCCACUGCCCUCAGCCUGGGCAACAGAACAACAUGCAAUCUUAAAAAAAAAAAAUCCUGGCCAGGCACAGUGGCUUAUGACUGUAAUCCCAGCACUUUAGGAGACGGAGGCGGGCAGAUCACGA
rnacentral:lncRNA from 1 species